rnacentral:rRNA from 1 species
UACAGAGGUCCCGAGCGUUGUUCGGAUUCACUGGGCGUAAAGGGUGCGUAGGUGGCUUGACAAGUUUGAUGUGAAAUCUCCGGGCUUAACUCGGAAAAUGCAUUGAAUACUGUAGAGGCUUGAGGUUUGGAGGGGGGACUGGAAUUCUCGGUGUAGCAGUGAAAUGCGUAGAGAUGUGGAGGAACACCAGUGGCGAAGGCGACUCUUUGGCCUGUAACUGACGCUGAGGCGCGAAAGCGUGGGGAGCAAACAGG